rnacentral:rRNA from 1 species
UACGAAGGGGGCUAGCGUUGCUCGGAAUCACUGGGCGUAAAGGGUGCGUAGGCGGGUCUUUAAGUCAGGUGUGAAAUCUCGGGGCUCAACCCCGAAACUGCACUUGAUACUGCGGUGCUCGAGUACUGGAGAGGAGAUUGGAAUUUACGGUGUAGCAGUGAAAUGCGUAGAUAUCGUAAGGAAGACCAGUGGCGAAGGCGAAUCUCUGGACAGUUACUGACACUGAGGCACGAAGGCCAGGGGAGCAAACGGG